UUCCUUCCAUUGCUGUUCCCUGCAGCAUGGCCUAGGAGCACCAUAACUCCCUGUGUAAUACUUGAGCCUGCCAGCCAUGUCAGAGCCUCACACACAGAUCCUUUCCAAGGCAGAAACGAAGGGUGUUGAAUCCUCACACUGAGACCUCCUGGUCUGUGCGUGUAGAAAGGCUCUGGCAUCAUAUUGACAGCACAGCCAGCAGCCAGAGAAGGAUUCCACACAUAGGUUUAAACAUUCCUAGCAUGAAAGGUGCCAUUUAAGCAUCAGUCAUCAUGUUCACUGUUGGCAGAGGGCUAGGUGACUCAUUUUAUCAGCAAGGCUAUUCCUAGAAAAAGAAAAUGCAGAGAGGGACUGAGUGAGCAGCUGAGACGGUAUUUUGUCUCCAGCUGGGCUUGAAACCAUGGCAGUCCUUUUUUGGCAGCUGAACAGGGGAACCAAAGGUUGAGCUGUUGGAGAGAGGAUAUGAGCAAGCAUGAACUAAAAGGACAUGUCACUCAUUAGGAAGCCUCUAAGAGAUGCAGAAUUUUCUCAUAGCUUCCUGGAAAGGACUUGGCAAGGGACAUGAAUAGACAACGGAGCACAGUAAAGGCUUUAUCAUGAUCCCACUUCUCUGUCAUGCUAAAAUGCAUUUCACCAAGCUGCAUUCAAAAAGAAAGAGGUUUUAUUUAAGAAUGGAUGUACAUUUUUAUAUUAAUAUGAAUGAAUACACGUAUUUACUUCAAAAAUGAGUACUUUGUAACUAACUCCAAGGUUACAGCAGUCACUGACUGCUUCUGCCUUUCUGCAUUGUAGAAGGAGCAUGACCAGCUCUGACACCAUUUACCCAGG